rnacentral:rRNA from 1 species
GACGAACGCUGGCGGCGUGCUUAACACAUGCAAGUCGAACGGAAAGGCCCUGCUUUUGUGGGGUGCUCGAGUGGCGAACGGGUGAGUAACACGUGAGUAACCUGCCCUUGACUUUGGGAUAACUUCAGGAAACUGGGGCUAAUACCGGAUAGGAGCUCCUGCUGCAUGGUGGGGGUUGGAAAGUUUCGGCGGUUGGGGAUGGACUCGCGGCUUAUCAGCUUGUUGGUGGGGUAGUGGCUUACCAAGGCUUUGACGGGUAGCCGGCCUGAGAGGGUGACCGGCCACAUUGGGACUGAGGUACGGCCCGGACUCCUCCGGGCGGCAGCAGUGGGGACUUUUGCACACUGGGCCGCAGCCUGAUGCAGCAACGCCGCGUGCGGGAUGACGGCCUUCGGGUUGUAAACCGCUUUCGCCUGUGACGAAGCGUGAGUGACGGUACUGGGUAAAGAAGCACCGGCUACCUCCGU